GUAAACCGGCAGCCGUGCCAGGGGUACGGGUGCAGGUGUUAGGCAAGGUGUUAGGGCGCAGUGCCGUAUCCAGCACAUGUUGGAGCAAGUCCUAACAGUUGCUAGAGGACAGCGCAGCCGUGGACCGCUCACGCACAAGCCUUGCACACCAAACGCUGGUUUCGAUCGCACAGGGCGUUGCAUGGCGGCGUGCACGCACUCACGUUGGGCUUGCUGGGCUGCACCAGUGCCAGUUGGAAGCAGUAGUUGGUGCGGCCGGGGCGGCGGCCGGGCAGGGUGGUGAUGGUGGGCUGCGCGGCGUAGCGGGUGGACAGCGGAGAGGUGUUGCACCUGUGUGUGUGGGGGGGGGGGGUGAGGAGGGGCGGGACAAGGAGGGGGGAGGUCAGGGCAUGAGGUCGGGGCGGAGGGACGCGGCGGGGGAUGUUGUGACGUCAUGGGGACCGCUGCAUAUGCGUAGUGAAUUGGUCACCGGGCGGGCAAGCUGCCCGUCAAGUCAACCCCGUUGCUUCGCGGGUGCCUCUUUAAACCCGAGCCAGUACCCGAAACAACUCGAACACAACUUGCAACACCACACACACUCACUGGCACUUGGGGAAGUUGCCGCCGGUGUCCUCGGGCGAGCAGCCGGCGCUGUCGGUGGCCAGCAGGCAGCUGGGCGGCAGGCUGGUCAGCAGGGCGCUCACGUCCGUGUCAGGCGUCACCUGGGGGGGGGGCGCAUAGGUCAGUAGGCUGCGGCAAGGUGGCUAGGGUCGGUUCUCUCAAGACGCGGCAAGGUGGAUUAGGGUGGGUCCCCACAAGACGCUGCCAUGUGGCGCAGGCUGCUGCGUGCAUGCGGGGGAGCCUCUACCUGGCAGAGUACCCAACCCAGGCCCGAGCAUUGCACACGCACACGCACGCACCUCGCCGUUGUCUCCCGCCACAGCCACCACUACGGAGUAGCCGGAGAGGAAGGGCGCGCAGGUGCCGCUGCUGCUGCUGCCGCUCACCAGCUCACGCCACACGGCGGCCU
rnacentral:lncRNA from 1 species